ACCGCCGUGGACGGGACCAAGCUGCCUCCGGAGCAGAAGGCCGCAGGUUCGAAUCCUGCCGGGGGCACCA
rnacentral:tRNA from 1 species